rnacentral:rRNA from 1 species
UACAGAGGGUGCGAGCGUUAAUCGGAAUUACUGGGCGUAAAGCGUGCGUAGACGGUUAUUUAAGUCGGGUGUGAAAGCCCCGGGCUCAACCUGGGAAUUGCAUUCGAGGACUGAAUAGCUAGGGUACGGUAGAGGGAAGCGGAAUUUCCGGUGUAGCCGGUGAAAUGCGUAGAUAUCGGAAGGAACAUCGAGUGGCGAAAAGCGGCAUUCCUGGACCAGUACCGACGUAGGCCACGAAAGCGUGGGGAGCAAACAUGG